rnacentral:lncRNA from 1 species
AGGUGGCCCUGGGGCUGCUGCAGGAAAUGCGAGGAGAGGCUGACAGGAGGGGACGGGGAUGCUGAGUGGAAGGAAGCAGAACUGCCCAAGGAGCCAGGGAUGUUCACGGGUGCAGAGCUCUGCAGCAGACUGCCACCUGGAAGAGAGGCCCCAGAGGGCCCAGUGAAGGCGGGGCAAGCUACACAGAGCCACGUAAGCAGGGGAAGGCUCGCCUGCCCAGCCCGGGCCAGGUUGGACCCCUAGGAGCCCUCCCUCAUGCGCUGCCCACCCACUACCCAGUACCAAUUGUGAUGCUGCCUGGGUGGGGCACCGCGCUGUUAUCAAAAGUCUUCUCUAGGGCAGCCACCCCAAACUCAUUCAGGUCCAGGUCAUCCAGGGCAGACUCUGGGGACACAGAGAUUGGUACAUAAACCUCCUUGCCUCCCAAGGGGCCACAGAACCCUGAGGUUCCAGGCCUCGUCUCCAGGACCCACCUCUACUGCCUCCUAUUCAUGCUCGGCCCCACUAGACCCAGGCUCUCAAGCCCCCGCCUGUCGGGCUGCUCCUUUGCCAACAUGGACACCCUGUGCUGUGUGCCUUGCCACGUCCGGCUCAGAUGGCUCUCUUCCAAAGCCUUCUGAUACCUCUCCUGAUGUUACAGCUUGUAUGUCUCAUCCUUGAGCUCUCAAGGGCAGGAAACAGAUCUUUGGGCCCUCAGUGGCUAAUGCACAGUAGGUGCUUGACAAACACCCACUGCCCUCUGCUGAACUAGACGGGGAGGCUGGCAACAAUGUCCCUCCUCGAGGGCAGGAACACCCUAUCCGCAUCUCUGCCAGCCUGGUGCCUGAAACACGACCUGCCACAAAGUGCCACCCAUAAAGGGCUGCUGACAGAGAAGGGCAGUUGUGUAGGUUGUCUGCUACAUAAGGGUACCUAGUGAGAGUAUGAGGGCCAAGGGACCUAUAUCGUGGAAUGAGGCUGCAUUGGUCCAAGGGAAGAGGCGGCUCUUCCUAAUUUCCACAACAGAGAAAUAGCUAAUUUGCUAUAAGGGCUAUAAGGGCCCUACACCCUGGGCUCAUUUUCCCUUUAGGUCAAAGGGCUCAGAGUGCCCACCUUCUGACUCUCCCAGGUAAAUGUCUACAGUGACAAGCACCCUGGUUUGGAUCUCACUCGAGAGCUAGUUUCUCUGACUCCAGACCCAGUCCAGAUCUUGGCAACAGAAAUGGCCUAAUUACCU